GCGUUCGUGGUGUAUCGGUAACAUUGGGUCUUCCCAUAGCAUAUCAAUACAGUUUGUAAUGGCCUAGCACCGGGUUCGACUCCCGGCGGACGCA